rnacentral:rRNA from 1 species
CCGCACAGGUGCUGCGAUGGCUGUCGUCAGCUCGUGUCGUGAGAUGUUGGUUAAGUCCGCAACGAGCGCAACCCUCGUCUCCACGUUGCCAUCAGGUUAAGCUGGGCACUUUGGAGAAACUGCCGGUGACAAGCCGGAGGAAGGUGGGGAUGACGUCAAGUCCUCAUGGCCCUUACGGGCUGGGCUACACACGUGCUACAAUGGCGGUGACAAUGGGAAGCAAUGGCGCGAGCCGGAGCCGAUCCUUAAAAACCGUCUCAGUUCGGAUUGCACUCUGCAACUCGAGUGCAUGAAGGUGGAAUCGCUAGUAAUCGAGGAUCAGCAUGCCUCGGUGAAUACGUUCCCGGGCCUU